UUUGAUUUGGCUCACUUCAUUAUAGCAGGGAGAAGACUAAGGUCUCCAGUCUGCUAUGAAUGAGGAGAGAGAGGAGGGGGGUCCUACCUCUAAAACCACUCUGUCUGGGGAACAUGGCCGCCAGAGAAAAGCUAAGAGCCCAGAGCAGCAGGAGAGAGCAGACUCCCCUGGACCCAGCUGUGUCUCCAUGAAGAGUGACUGGUCUAUGGGUCAUCCUCCUGACAUUAAGGAUGGACGGCCCUCCAGAAAGAAGAGACAACCCCAUGAGAGAUCAAAGGUUACCAGUGCUCAGUCUGUACAGCAGCAUCAAACAGAGCUGAUCAAGAGGGCUGAGAAAAACGCACACGCUUUUCUAGACAAGGAGCUGAAGAAGCUCUGGAGGAUUAUUUUCCUAGAUUACCCACAAUACUCAGAGAGUCAGAAGGCGGAGGAGGAGGA
ensembl:lncRNA